UACGUAGGGUGCGAGCGUUGUCCGGAAUUAUUGGGCGUAAAGGGCUCGUAGGCGGUUUGUCGCGUCGGGAGUGAAAACCAGGUGCUUAACACCUGGCUUGCUUUCGAUACGGGCAGACGUAGAGGUAUUCAGGGGAGAACGGAAUUCCUGGUGUAGCGGUGAAAUGCGUAGAUAUCGAGAGGAACACCUGCGGCGAAGGCGGGUUGCUGGGCUGACACUGACGCUGAUGCGCGAAAGCCAGGGGAGCAAACGGG
rnacentral:rRNA from 1 species